CUCAUCAUGAUCGGCAGAGGGAUCAGGCCCUGUGAAGCCGAGGCAACCCCCACUAUGGAAGGUGCCAAAUCCUGCGGACCCUCGGGUGCCGAAAGAUGAG
rnacentral:ncRNA from 1 species